rnacentral:sRNA from 1 species
AAUUGUGUGAGGAGUAAUACGAACAAAAAAGCUCUUGGGGUCGAAACACGGCAAGACUCCCAAGAGCUUUUUUCACAA